AGUGGUUAAGAGUUAGCUUGUUAACUUGUGGUUAACUUGUUAUUGCAGAGGACCUGGGAUCAAAUCUAGCACACAUACAACAACUCUCACACCUCUGUAAUUUCACAUUCUGGAAAUCUGACACCUUUUCAUGACCUUGGUGGGUACUAGGUAUACACACGAUUCAUAGAUACCUAUGCAGGCUAAACACUCAUUCAUUUUACAUUAUGAAAAUAAAAGAGAAAGAAAUCAAGGCAACUCUAAAUGCAUAAAAAACUGGGAACACUCCAUAUUCUUCAUAUGUCAACAAUUCCUGAACAAGUUUAUAUUUGAAACACAUUCCUGGGGAGUGGUUGCUUUCAGAAAAAAAUGUAGUAUCACGAAGUUAUACGAAAAGUACUGUGAAAAUUAAAAAGACAAUAGAAUAAUGAAACAUGAUUGUGAAAAGGAGAAGGUCAAAAUCAGAAAGAUCUCAGUGCCUAAUCAGCCCGGUGCUAUCAACAGAGUAGGCACUGAAACAACACAGCAGAAAACAGGACUCCAGGAUGACGUCAGACACGUGUUGUCAACAGACACUUAACAGAUGAAUGAUCUUAAAAUCAGGGAAAGGGUGACAUCGCUCCAGUAUGUGCCCCUGAAACAACCUACUGACUGACUGCUAAAAAAGGGAAGAUUCAAGACCACUACAGUCCUUCUGUGGACUUAUGACCCAAGUACACGGCUUAAUAUUGUAAAGUCAUUUGACUUUUUAAAAAAAGUAAGGGAGAAUGUUUGUGAACUUGGCUUGGGCAAAAAUCAUCUUAGAUAAAAGAGCAAAAUCACUGUGCUAGCAAGAUGGUUAAACAUUGAUGGUGAUGUAGAUGUUGAAAUAGAUCUAACACUUUUCUGAGGCAAAAUUGUGCAGCUUCUACAAAGCUGUUUGUCAGUGUAAAAUAUGGUACACUCCCAUCCUGCACACGUGUCCCCACGCUGGAAAGGACAGCCUGCAUUUAAAUUUCAAGAAAUCUCUAUGUGACUGUUUGCAGCAGCUUAAGGGUCCCUGUAUGAAUGACACAUUUGUGACCAUUGAAAUAUGCUCAAGCUGAUGACAAGGUAAACCUCUCAACACAAGAAACUACUCCAACCACAUGCCUGUGUGUGCCCUUUCUCAUGCCACUUUAACAAGACAAAUGUCCCAUAGGCCCCUAACCCAAAAUGUCUGUAUACUAAGCCAGCCAGCAAGCUUAUGCAAACCUGAGGUCAGAGAGCUACAGGAUGUGGCCCCUUUGCAGUUUCCUUUGAGAAGAGACCACCAACUGCCACUACUCGCUUCCUCCUCUCACUUCUCUAGAAGUUUCCUUCCAGCUUUCAUAACCUCUCUGUAUAACACUUGCUGGUGAGAUUCUUGAGAAAUUCUGAAUUCAGAGCACAGUUCUGUGUCAGCUGUGCUGUGGAUACGGUCUCUCAGCAUCUCCCCGCAGUGCUCGUUCCUGACAGGCUACUGCUAGGCACUGCACUGUGAGUGAUGAGCAGAGGAGGUUGCUCUGACAAGAUGGAGGAACUGAGGCAGGAUUCUCUGCUCCAUGGAUCCACUGUAUGGCAUCUGGAAAGGCCCAUGGAGAUGGAGAACACACUGGCAGGGAACAUGGGAGAGAGCAAAACUCCCCUGGUGACAUGUGGAAGCCAGAGACCACAAAGGAGCCAAAGCAGACAACAUUGCCAAAGCUACCAUCCGCCUGAGCAUCAUGGGAUGGAAUGGAGGCAAACCAGGGACUCCAAGCAACCUCGGUGGGCACACUGUGAAUUCCUAUAUGGUUGAAAGGAAGUCUGCAGUCCACUCCCACCGGUCUGUGGGUCUGUCUGUCUGUCUAUCUGUCUGUGUAUAAGCAUGUGUGCUUUCUGUGUCAGCCUCAGAACCUCACUUCUCAGGCAAGCAUCCCAGCCCCUGAGAAACAACUUGAGAUCCUCCACCUGUCUUAGGUCAGCCACGUCUCCCAUCUCUGUUUGAAAUGACUCCAGCCCUGUGGUGUCCCUUGACUGAAGUCUGGAAAGAAACUAGGCUGAGAGUAGCCAGCUCAGCUCCCUACACUUCUGACCUGCAGGCUGUCAUAGAAAACAAUGGUUCUUAUAAUCAA
rnacentral:sRNA from 1 species